GGGUUGUGAGGUUAAGCGACUAAGCGUACACGGUGGAUGCCCUGGCAGUCAGAGGCGAUGAAGGACGUGCUAAUCUGCGAUAAGCGUCGGUAAGGUGAUAUGAACCGUUAUAACCGGCGAUUUCCGAAUGGGGAAACCCAGUGUGAUUCGUCACACUAUCAUUAACUGAAUCCAUAGGUUAAUGAGGCGAACCGGGGGAACUGAAACAUCUAAGUACCCGAGGAAAAGAAAUCAACCGAGAUUCCCCCAGUAGCGGCGAGCGAACGGGGAGGAGCCCAGAGCCUGAAUCAGUGUGUGUGUUAGUGGAAGCGUCUGGAAAGGCGCGCGAUACAGGGUGACAGCCCCGUACACAAAAAUGCACAUGCUGUGAGCUCGAUGAGUAGGGCGGGACACGUGGUAUCCUGUCUGAAUAUGGGGGGACCAUCCUCCAAGGCUAAAUACUCCUGACUGACCGAUAGUGAACCAGUACCGUGAGGGAAAGGCGAAAAGAACCCCGGCGAGGGGAGUGAAAAAGAACCUGAAACCGUGUACGUACAAGCAGUGGGAGCACAGAGCAAUCUGUGUGACUGCGUACCUUUUGUAUAAUGGGUCAGCGACUUAUAUUCUGUAGCAAGGUUAACCGAAUAGGGGAGCCGAAGGGAAACCGAGUCUUAACUGGGCGUUAAGUUGCAGGGUAUAGACCCGAAACCCGGUGAUCUAGCCAUGGGCAGGUUGAAGGUUGGGUAACACUAACUGGAGGACCGAACCGACUAAUGUUGAAAAAUUAGCGGAUGACUUGUGGCUGGGGGUGAAAGGCCAAUCAAACCGGGAGAUAGCUGGUUCUCCCCGAAAGCUAUUUAGGUAGCGCCUCGUGAAUUCAUCUCCGGGGGUAGAGCACUGUUUCGGCAAGGGGGUCAUCCCGACUUACCAACCCGAUGCAAACUGCGAAUACCGGAGAAUGUUAUCACGGGAGACACACGGCGGGUGCUAACGUCCGUCGUGAAGAGGGAAACAACCCAGACCGCCAGCUAAGGUCCCAAAGUCAUGGUUAAGUGGGAAACGAUGUGGGAAGGCCCAGACAGCCAGGAUGUUGGCUUAGAAGCAGCCAUCAUUUAAAGAAAGCGUAAUAGCUCACUGGUCGAGUCGGCCUGCGCGGAAGAUGUAACGGGGCUAAACCAUGCACCGAAGCUGCGGCAGCGACACUGUGUGUUGUUGGGUAGGGGAGCGUUCUGUAAGCCUGUGAAGGUGUGCUGUGAGGCAUGCUGGAGGUAUCAGAAGUGCGAAUGCUGACAUAAGUAACGAUAAAGCGGGUGAAAAGCCCGCUCGCCGGAAGACCAAGGGUUCCUGUCCAACGUUAAUCGGGGCAGGGUGAGUCGACCCCUAAGGCGAGGCCGAAAGGCGUAGUCGAUGGGAAACAGGUUAAUAUUCCUGUACUUGGUGUUACUGCGAAGGGGGACGGAGAAGGCUAUGUUGGCCGGGCGACGGUUGUCCCGGUUUAAGCGUGUAGGCUGGUUUUCCAGGCAAAUCCGGAAAAUCAAGGCUGAGGCGUGAUGACGAGGCACUACGGUGCUGAAGCAACAAAUGCCCUGCUUCCAGGAAAAGCCUCUAAGCAUCAGGUAACAUCAAAUCGUACCCCAAACCGACACAGGUGGUCAGGUAGAGAAUACCAAGGCGCUUGAGAGAACUCGGGUGAAGGAACUAGGCAAAAUGGUGCCGUAACUUCGGGAGAAGGCACGCUGAUAUGUAGGUGAAGUCCCUCGCGGAUGGAGCUGAAAUCAGUCGAAGAUACCAGCUGGCUGCAACUGUUUAUUAAAAACACAGCACUGUGCAAACACGAAAGUGGACGUAUACGGUGUGACGCCUGCCCGGUGCCGGAAGGUUAAUUGAUGGGGUCAGCGCAAGCGAAGCUCUUGAUCGAAGCCCCGGUAAACGGCGGCCGUAACUAUAACGGUCCUAAGGUAGCGAAAUUCCUUGUCGGGUAAGUUCCGACCUGCACGAAUGGCGUAAUGAUGGCCAGGCUGUCUCCACCCGAGACUCAGUGAAAUUGAACUCGCUGUGAAGAUGCAGUGUACCCGCGGCAAGACGGAAAGACCCCGUGAACCUUUACUAUAGCUUGACACUGAACAUUGAGCCUUGAUGUGUAGGAUAGGUGGGAGGCUUUGAAGUGUGGACGCCAGUCUGCAUGGAGCCGACCUUGAAAUACCACCCUUUAAUGUUUGAUGUUCUAACGUGGACCCGUGAUCCGGGUUGCGGACAGUGUCUGGUGGGUAGUUUGACUGGGGCGGUCUCCUCCUAAAGAGUAACGGAGGAGCACGAAGGUUGGCUAAUCCUGGUCGGACAUCAGGAGGUUAGUGCAAUGGCAUAAGCCAGCUUGACUGCGAGCGUGACGGCGCGAGCAGGUGCGAAAGCAGGUCAUAGUGAUCCGGUGGUUCUGAAUGGAAGGGCCAUCGCUCAACGGAUAAAAGGUACUCCGGGGAUAACAGGCUGAUACCGCCCAAGAGUUCAUAUCGACGGCGGUGUUUGGCACCUCGAUGUCGGCUCAUCACAUCCUGGGGCUGAAGUAGGUCCCAAGGGUAUGGCUGUUCGCCAUUUAAAGUGGUACGCGAGCUGGGUUUAGAACGUCGUGAGACAGUUCGGUCCCUAUCUGCCGUGGGCGCUGGAGAACUGAGGGGGGCUGCUCCUAGUACGAGAGGACCGGAGUGGACGCAUCACUGGUGUUCGGGUUGUCAUGCCAAUGGCACUGCCCGGUAGCUAAAUGCGGAAGAGAUAAGUGCUGAAAGCAUCUAAGCACGAAACUUGCCCCGAGAUGAGUUCUCCCUGACCCUUUAAGGGUCCUGAAGGAACGUUGAAGACGACGACGUUGAUAGGCCGGGUGUGUAAGCGCAGCGAUGCGUUGAGCUAACCGGUACUAAUGAACCGUGAGGCUUAACCUUACAACGCCGAAGGUGUUU
rnacentral:rRNA from 1 species